rnacentral:rRNA from 1 species
GACGAACGCUGGCGGCGUGCCUAACACAUGCAAGUCGAGCGGAGACGUGACUUCGGUUGCGUUUUAGCGGCGGACGGGUGAGUAACGCGUGAGGAAUCUGUCUUUGGCAGUGGGAUAACACUUGGAAACAGGUGCUAAUACCACAUGAGACCACAGCAUCGCAUGGUGCAGGGGUCAAAGGAGCAAUCCGGCCGAAGGUGAUCUCGCGUCCCAUUAGAUAGUUGGCGGGGUAACGGCCCACCAAGUCGACGAUGGGUAGCCGACCUGAGAGGGUGAUCGGCCACACUGGAACUGAGAGACGGUCCAGACUCCUACGGGAGGCAGCAGUGGGGAAUAUUGGGCAAUGGGCGAAAGCCUGACCCAGCAACGCCGCGUGAGGGAAGAAGGUUUUCGGAUUGUAAACCUCUGUCCUCAGGGAAGAACACAAUGACGGUACCUGAGGAGGAAGCCCCGGCUAACUACGUGCCAGCAGCCGCGGUAAUACGUAGGGGGCGAGCGUUGUCCGGAAUGACUGGGCGUAAAGGGCGCGUAGGCGGCCGAUUAAGCCUGGAGUGAAAGUCCUGCUUUCAAGGUGGGAAUUGCUUUGGAAACUGGUUGGCUUGAGUGCGGAAGAGGUAAGUGGAAUUCCCAGUGUAGCGGUGAAAUGCGUAGAGAUUGGGAGGAACACCAGUGGCGAAGGCGACUUACUGGGCCGUAACUGACGCUGAGGCGCGAAAGCGUGGGGAGCGAACAGGAUUAGAUACCCUGGUAGUCCACGCGGUAAACGAUGAAUGCUAGGUGUAGGGGGUAUCGACCCCUCCUGUGCCGCAGCUAACACAAUAAGCAUUCCGCCUGGGGAGUACGGUCGCAAGGUUGAAACUCAAAGGAAUUGACGGGGGCCCGCACAAGCAGCGGAGCAUGUGGUUUAAUUCGAAGCAACGCGAAGACCUUACCAGGUCUUGACAUCGAUCUAAUCUC